rnacentral:misc_RNA from 1 species
GAUGAAGAACGCAGCGAAAUGCGAUAAGUAAUGUGAAUUGCAGAAUUCAGUGAAUCAUCGAAUCUUUGAACGCACAUUGCGCCCGCCAGUAUUCUGGCGGGCAUGCCUGUCUGAGCGUCAUUUCAACCCUCAAGCAACUUCUGCUUGGUGUUGGGGAUCGGCCGUUAAACGCCGCCCCCGAAAUCUAUUGGCGAUCUCGCUGUAGCUUCCUAUGCGUAGUAGUAACAUCUCGCAUCUGGAGAGCGGCGCGGUCAUGCCGUAAAACACCCAACUUCUCAGGUUGACCUCAGAUCAGGUAGGAAUACCCGCUGAACUUAAGCAUAUCAAAAGCGGAGGA